rnacentral:rRNA from 1 species
GGCCCAGACUCCUACGGGAGGCAGCAGUAGGGAAUCUUNGGCAAUGGGGGCAACCCUGACCGAGCAACGCCGCGUGAGUGAAGAAGGUUUUCGGAUCGUAAAGCUCUGUUGUAAGAGAAGAACGUGUGUGAGAGUGGAAAGUUCACACAGUGACGGUAACUUACCAGAAAGGGACGGCUAACUACGUGCCAGCAGCCGCGGUAAUACGUAGGUCCCGAGCGUUGUCCGGAUUUAUUGGGCGUAAAGCGAGCGCAGGCGGUUUAAUAAGUCUGAAGUUAAAGGCAGUGGCUUAACCAUUGUUCGCUUUGGAAACUGUUAGACUUGAGUGCAGAAGGGGAGAGUGGAAUUCCAUGUGUAGCGGUGAAAUGCGUAGAUAUAUGGAGGAACACCG